ensembl:lncRNA
GUGGGGUUCUGGGGACACCUCAGUGCCCCCUGUGUCCAUAGUGGGGUUCUGGGGACACCUCAGUGCCCCCUGUGUCCAUAGUGGGGUUCUGGGGACACCUCAGUGCCCCCUGUGUCCAUAGUGGGGUUCUGGGGACACCUCAGUGCCCCCUGUGUCCAUAGUGGGGUUCUGGGGACACCUCAGUGCCCCCUGUGUCCAUAGUGGGGUUCUGGGGACACCCCACUGCCCCUCUGUGUCAUUUGUGGGGUGUGGGGUGCAGGGGACACCUCGCUGCCCCUCUGUGUCAGUUGUGGGGUGCAGGGUGUGGGUGUGAGGUCUUGGGAUCACCCCACUGCCCCUCUGUGUCCAUAGUGGGGUCCUGGGGUCACCCCACUUCCCCUCUGUGCCCGUAGGGUGAGCCAGGACAGCGGGGGAUCGGCCAGCCAGGACCGCAGGUGGGUUUUGGGGUGCAUUUGCUGUCCCCUGCUGUCCCCUGCCGGGUGGCUCUGGUGCCUUUCACACACUCUGCUUUUCCCAGGGAGACCCCGGGAGCGCCGGACCCCCCGGACCCCCUGUGAGUAGGUUUGGGAUUUUGGGGUACUCUGAGUGAUGGGGCAGCGAGUGGUGGGGUCACACCUCUCCCAGCCCCCUGUGUGCACUGUGGUGGCUUUGGGGACAGCGUUGUCCCCUCACCGGGAGGAACCAACACCCUGUCCUCCCCCCCAGGGCCCCCCCGGACCGCAGGGACCCCCGGGGAUGGCAGCAGAGAAAGGUGCCAAGGGCUCUCCGGGCCCCAAAGGUGCCACGGGACCCCCUGGACCACCAGGGAGCAGCGUCACCGGGCCACCUGGCCCCCAGGGGCAGCGGGGGCUCCCCGGGUCCAGCGGGCAGCCGGUAGGUGCUGGGGGGUUGUGCCAGGGGCUGUGCCAGCGGGGGGCUGUGCCAGCGGGGGGUGUGCCAGGGUGUGGGGU